rnacentral:rRNA from 1 species
GUGUCAGCCGCCGCGGUAAGACGGAGGGUGCAAGCGUUGUUCGGAAUUACUGGGCGUAAAGAGCGUGUAGGCGGUUGAUUAAGUCGGAUGUGAAAGCCCUUGGCUCAACCAAGGAAGUGCAUCCGAAACUGGUUGACUUGAGUACGGGAGAGGAGAGUGGAAUUCCUGGAGUAGAGGUGAAAUUCGUAGAUCUCAGGAGGAACACCGGUGGCGAAGGCGACUCUCUGGACCGAUACUGACGCUGAGACGCGAAAGCGUGGGGAGCAAACAGGAUUAGAUACCCUGGUAGUCCACGCCGUAAACGAUGGGCACUAGGUGUAGAGGGUAUUGACCCCCUCUGUGCCGAAGCAAACGCAUUAAGUGCCCCGCCUGGGGAGUACGGUCGCAAGACUAAA